UAACCUGCCCUGUACUCUGGGAUAAGCCUGGGAAACUAGGUCUAAUACCGGAUAUGACCUGCCUCCGCAUGGUGGUGGGUGGAAAGUUCCGGCGGUACGGGAUGGGCCCGCGGCCUAUCAGCUUGUUGGUGGGGUGAUGGCCUACCAAGGCGACGACGGGUAGCCGGCCUGAGAGGGUGACCGGCCACACUGGGACUGAGACACGGCCCAGACUCCUACGGGAGGCAGCAGUGGGGAAUAUUGCACAAUGGGCGAAAGCCUGAUGCAGCGACGCCGCGUGAGGGAUGACGGCCUUCGGGUUGUAAACCUCUUUCAGCAGGGACGAAGCGCAAGUGACGGUACCUGCAGAAGAAGCACCGGCUAACUACGUGCCAGCAGCCGCGGUAAUACGUAGGGUGCGAGCGUUGUCCGGAAUUAUUGGGCGUAAAGAGCUCGUAGGCGGUUUGUUGCGUCGGCCGUGAAAACUUCACGCUUAACGUGGAGCCUGCGGUCGAUACGGGCAGACUUGAGUUCGGCAGGGGAGACUGGAAUUCCUGGUGUAGCGGUGAAAUGCGCAGAUAUCAGGAGGAACACCGGUGGCGAAGGCGGGUCUCUGGGCCGAUACUGACGCUGAGGAGCGAAAGCGUGGGGAGCGAACAGGAUUAGAUACCCUGGUAGUCCACG
rnacentral:rRNA from 2 species